AUGUCGCGUUUAUCUUUUGGGCUCUGCGUGUACCGCCCUUCUUUCGGGUAUCUAUGUCCUCUUCUGAUGUACUACGCCUCAUGUACUCCCUCGCGCCUCCUGCUGUCCCUUUGUGGUGUCGCAAAACACUUUAUGAGUAAUGAUGUAAUCUCUAUUUGCUCCUGGAAUGUUCGUGGAUUAGGUGAUGACGACAAGUGUAAUGCUAUCCUCUCUGAACUGCUAGCGAUCAACCCUCACGUGGCCCUCUUGCAAGAAACCAAACUAGAAUCCUACACCAACACCAAGCUCCGCUCUUUUCUCCCCUUCCACCUCGACCAAGCUUUCUCUCUGCCCGCCAUUGGCACGGCCGGAGGCACCAUUACCGCCGUUAACUCCUCCCUUCAAGUCAGCUCGCAUUCUCACAAAGCCUUCUCCUCCACCGUAACUCUAGAUCAACUGCAUGUGCCUCCAACAUCGCCAUCACCAACAUCUACGCUCCUUCUACACGUGCCCUCAAGCAAUCUUUCCUAG
rnacentral:rRNA from 1 species